rnacentral:misc_RNA from 1 species
UGCAAUUGCACUGUAAGCAAAUUUCAAUAUUCUUUACAUUGACAUAAAAUGCAGUGAAAAUAUAUUCUGCAGAUGAAAUUUUCCGGAAAUUGACAUAGAUCAUAGAGUUCAUUAAUGGCAAAUGUGUUCCUUUGAUAAUCAACGGAACAUUUCGACAAUCUUGUUUCCAAGAGCCAUUUUCUGGCCUUGAUUCUCUAAUUCCUCUUCAUACUGCUAGAAUCAGUCUCUACAAAAAUUGAAAUCUACAAGCAGGAACGAAACAGGAUUUUGCUAGCACGUUAGAGAGUGUUGGCGUGAAAUUUAGAUGAAUUGAUUACAGUGGCUGUUUGUAUCAAUUGUGUAUACAUCUAUAAAGUGUAAUAUGUACAGCUUGGAGGAUCAAAAUGCCAAAAUGCUAUCCACCCCCAACGAACUUGUUAUUUGCCAUUAAAAAACUCAUGGAAUAAUGUAGAUGAACAAAUGGAGGAGAUGGUCAGGUCCUGAGAAAGCUCCAAGGCCCCAUUCCAGUUCCUAUUCUCAAAAAGCCGGCUAAUGCACGUAAACUCAUAAAAAUGCUCAAUGCAACCCAAAUGCCAUAGAAGCCAUGACUAGAGGAUAAUAUAAACAAGCAUAGGAUGCUCAUCAUAGACACCAAAACCUGAGUCGCGGAGGAAAAAAAAUAGAAAAAUGUGAAUAUAAUGAGCAUUUCAUAUUUAUUAAUGUUAAAAUGGAGAAGACAAAUAAUAUAAGAUUAUUAAAUUGUUGAUGGCAUAUUAAAUUGUUGAUGGCAGCCAAGCUACGCUUAUUAUAAAUUUAUAUCUUGAAGAACCUUUUAGUUAGGGCAGAAGGCAAGGGAUACCAUUGAGUAUGCAGAAUAUGCAAAAUCAGAUGCUCCAAAGUUGAUUCCGUCGAAAACGAAGGCUAAAACAUUAAUGGGCUGAGUUGCUGUAACAAACUAAUCAGCACAAAAAGGAAAAAUCUUAAUCCCAAAAUGGUCCAGAGUCCAAAGCACAGAAAAGGGGGGAAAAAUCCUAUGCUUGUUUCUUGUAGCAAAAGAAUGGAAGUGAAAGUUACCGGGAUGCCCACGCUAAUAAGGUUUAAAACAUUGGUGUCUUCUGUAAAUAAUGUUGAAGCAAACUGUAAUCCAACUAAAAGGAAGACCCAGAGGAAUAGCCCUAAAACCAAACCAAACUGCAAUAGGAAAGUGAACAAUUAAAAUAUUUAGAGGGAAAUAAGUAACUUUAUGCUAAGAAAUUUUCAUACCUGCAACACACGAGAAGCAGUGGCUUUGGCCUUGUCGUAAUCAUUAUUUGCAAAUGCACUUGCAAGGAUUGCCUGUCCAGCCACAGCCAGCCCAUCUGCAAGCAAAGAAGUUGCCAACCAAAUCUGCAAGCAAACCUGAAAUGCAGCCAUUGAAGUAGAUCCAUGUCUUGCUGCCAUUGAUGCAGCCAGGGUGACACAGAAUGUUGCAGCUAUUACCCUCAUCAACAGCAUAAAUCCAUUUUUGAGAAAUCGGCUAAAUUGUAGAUCUUUAAUGCUAGGAGGCAAUAGCUCAACUUGUUCAAUUAAUUUCCACAACAGCAUCAGGGAGAUUAGGUACUGAGAAAUAACAUGAGCAAUGGCUGCACCGCUGACUCCCAGCCGGAAAACGAAUAUAAAUAUUGGAUCCAAGAUGAUAUUUGCUACAUCUCCCACAACAGUAGCAUACAAAGGAGUUUUUGUAUCCUUAAUUCCUCGGAAAACCCCUUGCAUGGCUAAAGAAAGAAGGACAGCAGGAGCACCCAGUGACCUCAAUGUCAAGUAUUGUUGUGCUGGUAUUAGCAUGGGAGAAUCAGGAUGUACGCCCAUGUAGUUUAGGAUUGGUUUUGCUGCCAUAAUGAGAAAUAAAGCCUGGAUGAUGCCAAGCACACAACCAACAACCAAUGCUGAAGAAGCAGAUGGUAUGUGCCUUCUCUCAUAAACCCUUUUGGUGGAAAUACUGCUCACAGGGGAUGAUUUGUGAGUAGACUCAGCUUUAGGUAACAGCUCUUCCAUUUCCUUGUUGACAGCAAAAUCAUCUUCAAGUGUUGCAUUUUCCUGAAGUUCGGUACUCAAUUUUCCAGUAGUGUCUUCCUCAGCAACAAAAGAAGUUGUGACACUGACAAGUGGGAAUAUUGCAAUCUUUGACACUUGACUAAAAACAGCAAUAGAAACUCCCACAGCAGCAAGCUCCACAGGUCCUAUAUGCCCAAUGAAUGCUGUAUCAAUUAGAGAAGCAACAGGAUCUGCUGCUAAAGCAAGCGCUGCAGGAACUGCAAUUUGUGCUAUUUCUAUCCCUAACUCAUCAUUCCUGAAAACAUUACUUGUAUCCUUGAAGAGCGUAAAAAGGGGCACUUUAGCCAAGUUACUCCCCAGGUUAAGAACAGCAUCCAUGGCCAUCACUAGAAUGGAUUUCCCAAAAACACCGGAUGGAAUCAAGAUUACAGAGCUUCAGUAGAGAAAUUCAUGAGUUGACUAAAGAUGGUGCAUCAACCUCCCUCAGUUACGGAAAACCCAGAGCGUACAUUUUAUGCAAUAUAAAUUUAUAGUAAAUUGGAGCCAAAAGUAGCAAACUAUAAU